CAUCUCGUUCUGUCACGUCUGGAGCUCCCUGCACCUCGAGGUGGGCUCUGCCUGCCUGCACAGCCUGGUGCAAACCACCGGGGAGAAGUGGGAACACAGAGAACCCGCCCUGGCCCUGCGUGCUGGGGCUCCUGAGAGAACGGGGGUGACUGCAGCAGCACAGGCAGCUCCAGUCUCAGCAAAUCCCGGCCUGCUCGGAGGGGAUGACUCAUUUCAGGAGCCUGUGCUCGCUCCCAGUCAUUAAGGAAGGAGUUAAUCCCUGCAGCUUUGGCCACAAAGUGGAUGUGUAAGGCCUGGAGUCCCAUGGGCUCGAUUGCAUAAGAAACCAUGUAUUGUGGCAUUCAGUUGAUCAUGCACUACUUCUUCUGGUCACAUGGAGGCUUGAUUUCCCCUUGCAUCAGCUACUACAGACUUUACAUUUCUCACAGUGGUGUCUGUUCAGUUCACCGGGGUCAUCCCCUUCACCCCAGGGCAGAGCCCCUGCUGCUCACCCAGCCCUGACCCACGGGAUCUCAGCCCAUUUUUUGUAGGAUCCUGCCAGAGGAACCGGGCGCUUGUAAUUUUCCUCAUUUGUGUCUGUGCGUAACAGGUGUCAUUUUCAGUGUAGUACAGACAAAUCCCAAAAUAGCUCAGGCUCUUCAGACGCUGCGAGGAGAAAAAACCGUGGUUACUUCAGCUUUGGUUGUAGUGAAAAACCCAAUGCUCGCAGCCGGCUCCGAAGUCAGAAUUAAAAUGGCAGACGGAGGAGUGGAGCAGGGAUCUCUCUGCAUUCCGUGUUUCCUGACGGACUGCUCCUCGCUGCUCCGUGUGUGCACAUCAACUCCCUCUCAGUGCUGCCUCUCCAUCAGCUUCCCCGAUUCCCAGGAGCUGCACCUACCACGGAUCCUCCUCCACACUUCCCGGUGCUGGCAGAGCUCUGCUUCCCCUGCCGGGCGCCGGGGCUGGCCGGAGGCACCGGAGUUAUUCCAGGGAUCUGGGGGGCAGAGGCGAGGAGAGAGCGUGCAGCUGCAAAAGGCUCCUUGCCUGGGGAUGAUGCCUGCUGUGCUGAAAUGCAGCGCUGCCUGUGGACUGCCUUUGUUGGGGAUUAUUGGAUUCUGGUGACUCCAGGAGCGCAGUUAUUAGUUCCCCUGCCUACGCCGAGCGUUUUGAAUCUGUGUGUGCGAUAACACUUAUUAAUGCUGUUCAGAUUAAGAAGAUCCUAUGGCUUUCCUGCACUUUCAGCACCUUAUCUCACGCCACGCAUCUGCCCAGCAGCUAAACCACGCUCAGAUCAGCGUCUUGUGGCCAGCAGAGCAGGGGCUUGUGGGACCAGCAGUCGCCUCAUGGCCACAAGUCCUGCAUUUGAUCACAGCAGCAGCUCCUCUUAAGCUGCCUUGUGCUUCAGGGGAUCUGCCUGCUGAGGAUUUGCAGGACGUGGGCCUAAAAUAUUUUAUUUCAGGAAGUCAAGCAGUGGUUCCUGUCACCGAAACAGUUAAUCAGAAAGCACCAACUCUCUACUGCAACGUGUGUGUGCGUGCACGUGUUUUUGUUUUUUAGAGCCAGCAAGAUUUGCUUUGGUUUUUUUAAAGCAGAAAACACCAAAAAAGUUGGCUGUGGUUUCAGCUGCUAUCGCUCGAGAUUUGUACUGCUGACUACCAAUCCUAAAAGAGUUAACCUGCUAAGUAUGACUCAGAAGCAGAGAAGGAGAUGCGAGGCUGAGAGCCGGGGAGGAAGCGCAGAAACAGAGGUGAGGAACAGAAUAAUUGCCAAAAAAAGGUGCAGAGUCCAGGAGCGACGUUCCCUCCGGUCUGCCUGGCCCUGGCACCGCUGGCACGGGCUCCCUGGAAAGCUGCAGUUCCGCUCUUAUAACACAAGGAGCAGGCUGGAGAAUUUAGAGCUGCGUCACAGAGCUCAGCGAGAGAGUGAGAGAGCAAGCUCCGUCGAUAGGUCUACCAGCAACAGCCCUGCUGCAGCAAGAGGGGAGAGAGGCAGCAAGAGAGGCAGAGAGGGCUCCAGGAAGAGAAGUGGCACCAACACCACGGACUGGGCUCCUGCCACCAUCCACUGCCAUUUGCACCUCGUCCUCGGGCUCGCCUGGCGUAGGAGGCUUCGCCCAUUGACGAUGCUGGAGACCCGGCGCGCUUAAUCCCACGGGGAGGGAGAGUGGGCAGACACCGAAAGGGUUAACGGGAAGGAAAUUUCUGGAACCUUCUCUUCUGCGGCGCUCCAGAGCGAGCGGAGGGCUGAGGACUGCGCAGAUGGUGCACGGGCACGGCUCCUCGGUCCGGUUCGUCUCCCUCACCGCCCAGCAAUGAAGAUGGCAGCUCUGCCUGGAAGUGCUGAGGACACAGCCAGCCUUGAGCUUGGUCCUUCUGGCCGAGGAAGCCUCCCGAUUAUGCAGUGGAGUGGUCAGCACUUGUACUGUCACACCCUUGUCCUGCACCUGGCCUUGGGCUGAUUCAUUCCUUCACUGGGAGGAUGAUGCAUCAAGCUCAGAUUCUCAGCAUGUGAAACAGGGAUUAUUUUCUCCAGGGGAGACCAGAGCCUGAUGAACCACGAGUUUCACCCUGUGAUGUGAAAAUGGAGGAGAAAAUUUACGA